CCUACGGGUGGCUGCAGUGAGGAAUAUUGGUCAAUGGUCGGGAGACUGAACCAGCCAAGCCGCGUGAGGGAUGAAGGUACAGCGUAUCGUAAACCUCUUUUGUCAGGGAACAAAGGCGGGGACGUGUCCCCGGAUGAGUGUACCUGACGAAUAAGCAUCGGCUAACUCCGUGCCAGCAGCCGCGGUAAUACGGAGGAUCCGAGCGUUAUCCGGAUUUAUUGGGGUUAAAGGGUGCGCAGUCGGGUUUGUCAGUCAGGGGUCAAAGCUCGGGGCUCAACCCCGGGCCGGCCGUUGAAACUGGCAGGCUCGAGUGGGAGAGAGGUAGGCGGAAUGCGCGGUGUAGCGGUGAAAUGCAUAGAUAUCGCGCAGAACUCCGAUUGCGAAGGCAGCAUGCCGGCUCCACACUGACGCUGAGGCACGAAAGCGUGGGUAUCGAACAGGAUUAGAUACCCCAGUAGUC
rnacentral:rRNA from 1 species